GAUGAACGCUGACAGAAUGCUUAACACAUGCAAGUCUACUUGAACUUCGGUUUGGGUGGCGGACGGGUGAGUAACGCGUAAAGAACUUGCCUCACAGAUAGGGACAACAUUUGGAAACGAAUGCUAAUACCUGAUAUUAUGAUUUUAGGGCAUCCUAGAAUUAUGAAAGCUAUAUGCACUGUGAGAGAGCUUUGCGUCCCAUUAGCUAGUUGGGGAGGUAACGGCUCACCAAGGCGAUGAUGGGUAGCCGGCCUGAGAGGGUGAUCGGCCACAAGGGGACUGAGACACGGCCCUUACUCCUACGGGAGGCAGCAGUGGGGAAUAUUGGACAAUGGACCAAGAGUCUGAUCCAGCAAUUCUGUGUGCACGAUGAAGUUUUUCGGAAUGUAAAGUGCUUUCAGUUGGGAAGAAAAAAAUGACGGUACCAACAGAAGAAGUGACGGCUAAAUACGUG
rnacentral:rRNA from 1 species